UCCGUAGGGGGUCUGUCAAGUCGGGUGUGAAAUCCUGCGGCUCAACCGCGGAACUGCACUCGAUACUGACGGGCUUGAGUCCGCGAGGGGUGAACGGAAUUCCUGGUGUAGCGGUGGAAUGCGUAGAUAUCAGGAAGAACACCGAUGGCGAAGGCGGUUCACUGGCGCGGUACUGACCCUGAGGGACGAAAGCAUGGGUAGCGAACAGGAUUAGAUACCCUGGUAGUCC
rnacentral:rRNA from 1 species